AAUAGAUACCCGGGUAGUCCACGCCGUAAACGAUGAGUGCUAAGUGUUAGAGGGUUUCCGCCCUUUAGUGCUGCAGCUAACGCAUUAAGCACUCCGCCUGGGGAGUACGGUCGCAAGACUGAAACUCAAAGGAAUUGACGGGGGCCCGCACAAGCGGUGGAGCAUGUGGUUUAAUUCGAAGCAACGCGAAGAACCUUACCAGGUCUUGACAUCCCACUGACCGGUAUAGAGAUAUACCUUUCCCUUCGGGGACAGUGGUGACAGGUGGUGCAUGGUUGUCGUCAGCUCGUGUCGUGAGAUGUUGGGUUAAGUCCCGCAACGAGCGCAACCCUUGAUCUUAGUUACCAGCAUUUAGUUGGGCACUCUAAGGUGACUGCCGGUGACAAACCGGAGGAAGGUGGGGAUGACGUCAAAUCAUCAUGCCCCUUAUGACCUGGGCUACACACGUGCUACAAUGGAUGGUACAAAGGGCUGCAAGACUGCGAAGUCAAGCCAAUCCCAUAAAACCAUUCUCAGUUCGGAUUGCAGG
rnacentral:rRNA from 1 species